AACGAACGCUGGCGGCAUGCCUAACACAUGCAAGUCGAACGAACCCUUCGGGGCUAGUGGCGCACGGGUGCGUAACGCGUGGGAAUCUGCCCUUUGCUUCGGAAUAACAGUUAGAAAUGACUGCUAAUACCGGCUGAUGUCUUCGGACCCAAGAUUUAUCGGCAAAGGAUGAGCCCGCGUAGGAUUAGGUAGUUGGUGGGGUAAAGGCCUACCAAGCCGACGAUCCUUAGCUGGUCUGAGAGGAUGAUCAGCCACACUGGGACUGAGACACGGCCCAGACUCCUACGGGAGGCAGCAGUGGGGAAUAUUGGACAAUGGACGCAAGUCUGAUCCAGCAAUGCCGCGUGAGUGAUGAAGGCCUUAGGGUUGUAAAGCUCUUUUACCAGGGAUGAUAAUGACAGUACCUGGAGAAUAAGCUCCGGCUAACUCCGUGCCAGCAGCCGCCGGUAACAC
rnacentral:rRNA from 1 species